AUGGCCGCCAUGAAGAUCACCCUCCUUGCCGUGGCCGCAAUCUCGGCAGUCUUACUAGGCACCGCGUCGGCGGCGACCUACGGUGUCGGCGAGCCGGGCGGUUCGUGGACCCUCAACACCGACUACAGUAACUGGGUGUCCAACAAGAAGUUCCACCCGGGUGACGAGAUCGUCUUCAAGUACUCAACCCCGGCGCACAACGUGGUCGAGGUGAGCAAGGCCGGCUACGACUCCUGCAGCACCGACAGCGCCAUCAACACCUUAACCUCCGGCAACGACGUCGUCGCCAUCAACGCCACCGGCACCCGAUACUUCAUCUGCGGCAUCCCUGGCCACUGCAGCCCCACUGCCGCAGCCAGCAUGAAGGUCGUGAUCGACGUCGUCCCGAGUUCCUCCUCACCGUCGUCACCCAUGCCGGCUGCCGGUCCCGGCGCGAGCAACCUGCCGCCACCCUCCUCUACCGCAACCUCUGCCGGGGCCACAGCAGGAUUUGGCCUUGUCGUCCUACUGGCCGCCAGCCUCAUGGCUUAG
rnacentral:rRNA from 1 species